GAUCAUGGCUCAGGACGAACGCUGGCGGCGUGCUUAACACAUGCAAGUCGAACGGUAAGGCCCUUCGGGGUACACGAGUGGCGAACGGGUGAGUAACACGUGGGUGAUCUGCCCUGCACUUCGGGAUAAGCCUGGGAAACUGGGUCUAAUACCGGAUAGGACCAUGGACUUCACGGUUUGUGGUGGAAAGCUUUUGCGGUGUGGGAUGGGCCCGCGGCCUAUCAGCUUGUUGGUGGGGUAAUGGCCUACCAAGGCGACGACGGGUAGCCGGCCUGAGAGGGUGUCCGGCCACACUGGGACUGAGAUACGGCCCAGACUCCUACGGGAGGCAGCAGUGGGGAAUAUUGCACAAUGGGCGCAAGCCUGAUGCAGCGACGCCGCGUGAGGGAUGACGGCCUUCGGGUUGUAAACCUCUUUCAAUAGGGACGAAGCGCAAGUGACGGUACCUAUAGAAGAAGCACCGGCCAACUACGUG
rnacentral:rRNA from 1 species